CAACCCCUAACAUCAGUCCAUUUCCCUUCUCAAACACUCUGGAAUGAGAAACCCUAGCCGCCUCAUGUUCCCACGCCGUCUCCGCCACAAACAACCCACCGAAAAUCGUCUUACAGCGAUUCCAAUGUCCAAACCUCCCCAAAUUCCUAUCAAUUAACCCUUGUCUCUUCUUCUUCCAAAUCCUAUUAGCUUUUUCUCCAAAAUCCCCACUCAAUCCCUCAAAUCUUAGAUCCGAAAAUCAGUCCUCAAACCUUAGAUCACCCAAACGCCACCAAAUCCACACCAUGCAAUCUCCCCCUCCUCUUUUUCCCAAAUAUUUCCAUGGUUCCCCUCGAAUCACCCACAAUCCUGUCGAAUCUUAAAUCUAAUAUUCUGAAAAAACCCUAGUUCUUCCAUUCUUCUUGUUCUCGGUGAGUGUUUGGAACAUGUGAACCCAAAACGUCCAUUAAUUGAUUGUUCUUGUUAAGAACAACCAAUUAAUAAUUGUAUAAGUUCAUGAUUGCUUCAUUUAGAGUAGUUUAUUAACUGGUCCAGUGCAAAACAACCUUAGGUAAUUCUUUUCCAUUUUUGUUUUCUUUCUUUUUUUCUUCUUUCUAUGCUACCUUCUGUUUUCUUCCACUUCUUUCUUUCUUUCAGUAUAUAUGAUUUAGAUAGUGACAAUGUUUCCUUUUAAUUGGUAUUGUCAACUUGUUUAUAAAGCAUGUUGAAUCUUACAAUUAUCUAAAGUUUGGUUUUGAUUACAUAGGAUUUAGUCAGAUUAUCUUAGUUUCAGUCAGAUUUUUCAAAUGUUAAUUUUGGUUAAUUAAUUUAUUCUGAUUUAUAAAUUAAGUAGUCUAAUUUCUAGGAUUUCUUCACGUCUUUCUUUUAUUCUUGGUUUGAUUGUUGUUUAGAUGUUAGUUAUUUAAAUUCAGUGUUUUGUUUAGAGUUAAUUAGAUGAGCUUUCUUACUAAUUAGGCAAAUAUUAGUGUUUAAAUUACAUCAUUUGAUUUUGGACCCUGAAUCCUUAUGGACGGGUCCUUGUUUGCCUUGAGUUGUGAAUCAUUAGAAACCCCUAGGGUCUUAAUUAAAUUAAAAAUACUCAGGACAAUUUUCAGAAAAUAUCUAUGAAGAGAAGUUUCUAGAAAAUGCACAGUUGUACUAGCUAUUGUAAAGGAUGCUGAAAUAUGGGAUAAAAGGGACAAAUAUACCAUGACUGUGGAAAAAAGAAUAAUACUAUUUUUAGUUAUAGGAUAAAGAAUAUUUCAAAAGAAUACCUAUCCUAGGUAGCUUAUAUAUAGAUACUAUUCCUCAAAAUUCAAAUAAGAUUUUGAACCCUAAGAAAUACACUCUAUAAAGUUUAGCUGCCUUAUUUUUCCUUUGAUUUAGCAGAACUUGAAGAACUUCUUUGAGGAUUUUUGGGGUUUUCAUCAGUCAAAAAUGGUUUGAAGCUGAAAAUUUCUCUUCUAUGAUCUAUUCGGUUGCUAUUCAUUGCUUUUUUUUUUCUUUAAAAAAGCUUGGUUGAACUCCAGAUCUAGUUAUUUGAUCUCUCAUUCUUAUCUUCUGUUGUUCUUCUUUUCUUUUGUUCACUUAGGUAUGUUUCUUUUAUCCUCUGUAACCAUUUGUCUGGAAUAGCUGAAUGUAAAGCUUUUGGUUGUUAAAUACCUCUUCUAAUUUUCAGUUGGUUUGUUCUUUAUGUCCAUUAUUCUUUUAAAUGUGUUAAUAUAAUACUUCACUAGAAUGUUUGAGCAUUUUACUUAGCCAAGUUCGUAUGUGAAUGAAUGAAAGAAGGGUUUGAACAUAGAAUUCUAACGGCUGACGUAGUCUCAUUCUUUUCUUUCUAAUUGCUUUGUUACUUAACCAAAGAUACACUAGUCAAUGAAUCUCUACGUAUACUGAAAUAUGCAUGUUAUCUUUGUUGUUUUGGUAUGUGAGUGGCUAAAAAGCCAAACAAUCUCAAGGCUGGAGCUUGAAAUGGUGACUUGUGAGAAACAACUCUAUAGUUGAUUUCUUACAAGUCUGCACAUUGGUUUGGAGGAUCUGAUGGCAAGGAAAAACUGAAGUUAGGAGGAUUUUCUCUUUUGUUCACUUUAAAAAAUUUCCUUCCUUUUUUUAGAUGUUAGUUACACUUAGGAUUAUGUUGUAAAUUCAGGGAUAUUCAGUAAACAAAAAUCGACUGUUACAAUGAUUUUUGAAUUUAGUUUUUUUUAUUAUUAUUAGCAUAUAGUCAUAGCAAUUGGACCUCUUUAUAAUAAAUAUUAGUAUUGCGUAAUGAUUUGGACAUGCCAUGAAUUGGUCCAGACUUGCAACAAGGCCCAACAUGGAACUCAUUUGAGCAAGUAUAGGCCUAGGCAAAUGGGUCUGGGUGUUGAACCCAAUAGAAUUAUUUUAAUUGUGAACCAUUUCUUGAAGAUUAUAGUAUAAAAACAUGUUAUUAUGUCUUGCUAGUUCUGUGUUUAAUUAACAUUGUUGUUUGAUCCUUGAAUACUGAUUUUCACUUAAGAAUAAUUGAGUAUUAAUUAUCAUAAAUAGGCAAAUUCGGUUAGUUGUAGAGGUGGAUAGGCCCAUCUAGAAAAUGUGUAGUGAUUAGCCCGCCUACAUAUAAUCCCAAUAUGGGCUAUUCCGUUGGACUCAGCAAGACGCCCUUGAGCCCUUUCACGUUGGGCCAAAUUUUACCCCAAGUACAAUUUUAAGUUGGCUGAUUUCCUUUAAGUAAAUAAUCGAUGGGCCAUUGUUGGCAUGAACUCCUUCUCAAAAGUAAUUUUAAAAGCCUAGCCUUGCACCCUUUGAGCAUGUUCACAAUUUAGUUGGUCCUUAUUGAAUUCCAAAACUAGGAGCGAAAUAUUAGUAUCCUUAUGCUUUGUUUAGUUGAAAAACGAGCCUGGUAAAAAUACAAUUGA
rnacentral:lncRNA from 1 species